UGAAUCUCUGAUUGACCACCUGAGGUGAGCAAUGAGUCAUCCGUGGGAGCACAGGUGAAGGCAAUUCACCUGUGCUAUGAGAAGGGGAGCCUUGCUCCACCUCUUCUAGAUCCCAUUUAAAUGCUGACUAUCACUGGUGAAGGAUCUCUUUUGGAGAUUGUUUCUUUUGGAGUUUUCUCAGCGAGCCCAGGAUAAGGGGCCCCACACCUGGUUGCAGUAUUCCAGAUGGAGCAUCAUGAGGGCAGAGUACAGAGGGACAGUCACCUCCCCAUCCCUGCCUGCCACCCCUCUUCUGAAGGAUCUCAGGAUACUAUUGGCCUUCUGUGCUGCAAGAGCACACCUCUGGUUCAUGAUCAGUUUUUCAUCCACCAGGAUCCCAAAGUCCUUCUCUGCAGGGCUACCCUCAAGGAGUUCUUCUCCCAGUCUGUAUAUAUAUCUGGGACUACUCCAACCCAAGUGUGAAAGUUUGCACUUUGCUACGUUGAACCUCAUUAAGUUCACGCAGGCUCACCUUUGAAGUUUGUUGAGGUCCUGGAUGGUGUCCAUUCCAUCUGUGUCAACCACAGCACUUGGCUUGAUGCCCAAGGGAGCAAUUUUCAAAAUUGGAAAAAAAAAAAAAACUAUAAUUGAUCCAAGAAGGGUGAUUGAAGGAUCCAUCCACUGUAUUCUAGAGAUGUUUGCAUGUGGCUGGGAAGAGCCCAGUGAUAUUGUUACAUAACAUUGCAGAAAAGCUUACAAAUCAAAUUCAUAAUAUAAUUCUCAACAGGGAUGUAUCAUUUUGGUGAUGUAAUAUACAUCUUUGGCUGUGAAAGUGAAACUUACUAAGUAAGUUAAGAGUUUUAAGUGCAGCAAUGAAAUUUAGAGUUCUUGCAAGAGACAUUUAAUGCUAUGUUCUCUGUAACAUGCAAUCAUGAAGUUAAUCUGUCUACCAGAAGAAGAAAACUAAAAUGUAUGGAACUCAACAUUACAAGUUAGUGUUGCAGAUCCAGCAUGAAUGUAAGAAUACCAGCACAAUUUUACUACAGGAAUGAUUCAGCUAGCAACUGCUGUGUAAUUUACUGGUGCAAAUUACUAGACUUCAUCAUUAUGUAAUAAUCAAAUUUCCCUUCACUUAAAAUUUAUUAGUGUUUGUUUUGGCAGUUUGUUUUUUUGUUUGUUUGUUUGUUGUUGUUUUUUAUAUUUCUCUAUUUUACACAAGAUAAUUACAUAUCUGACUGUC